UACGGAAGGGGCAAGCGUUGUUCGGAAUCAUUGGGCGUAAAGGGCGCGUAGGUGGUCUUGUAUGUCUACCGUGAAAGCGUACGGCUCAACCGUAUUAGUCGGUAGAAACUGCAGGACUUGAGGCUGGGAGGGGCUGGUGGAAUUCCCGGUGUAGUGGUGAAAUGCGUAGAGAUCGGGAGGAACACCGGUGGCGAAGGCGGCCAACUGGACGAAUACUGACGCUGAGACUCGAAAGCGUAGGGAGCAAACAGG
rnacentral:rRNA from 1 species